GGGACACUGUCAGGUGGGCAGUUUGACUGGGGCGGUCGCCUCCCAAAAGGUAACGGAGGCGCUCAAAGGUUCUCUCAGUACGGUCGGAAAUCGUACGUAGAGUGUAAAGGCAAAAGAGAGCUUGAUUGCAAGACAUACAGGUCGAGCAAGGAUGAAAAUCGGACUUAGUGAUCCGGUGGUUCUGCGUGGAAGGGCCAUCGCUCAACGGAUAAAAGCUACCCUGGGGAUAACAGGCUUAUCUCCCCCAAGAGUCCACAUCGACGGGGAGGUUUGGCACCUCGAUGUCGGCUCAUCACAUCCUGGGGCUGUAGUAGGUCCCAAGGGUUGGGCUGUUCGCCCAUUAAAGUGGUACGCGAGCUGGGUUCAGAACGUCGUGAGACAGUUCGGUCCCUAUCCGUCGCAGGCGUAGGAAAUUUGAGAAGACCUGUCCUUAGUACGAGAGGACCGGGAUGGACGUACCUCUGGUGUACCAGUUGUCCUGCCAAGGGCAUGGCUGGUUAGCUAUGUACGGAAUGGAUAAGCGCUGAAAGCAUCUAAGCGCGAAGCCAACUUCAAGAUAAGAUUUCCCACCGCAAGGGUAAGACCCCAGAAAGACUAUCUGGUUGAUAGGUCGAAGGUGUAAGUGCAGCAAUGUAUUUAGCUUAUCGAUACUAAUAGGUCGAGGACUUGACCAAU
rnacentral:rRNA from 1 species